rnacentral:rRNA from 1 species
GACGAACCGUGCAAACGUUGUUCGGAAUCACUGGGCUUAAAGGGCGCGUAGGCGGGUUGCCAAGUCCGGGGUGAAAGCCCCCAGCUCAACUGGGGAAGUGCCUUGGAUACUGGUGAUCUCGAGGGAGGUAGGGGCAUGCGGAACUUCCGGUGGAGCGGUGAAAUGCGUAGAUAUCGGAAGGAACGCCGGUGGCGAAAGCGGCGUGCUGGACCUCUUCUGACGCUGAGGCGCGAAAGCCAGGGGAGCAAACGGG